rnacentral:tRNA from 2 species
GGGUCGCUAGCUCAAUCUGGCAGAGCAACGGACUCUUAAUCCGCAGGUUCCGGGUUCGAGUCCCGGGCGACCCA